rnacentral:rRNA from 1 species
AACGAACGCUGGCGGCAGGCCUAAAACAUGCAAGUCGAGCGGGCAUAGCAAUAUGUCAGCGGCGGACGGGUGAAUAACACGUGGGAACAUGCCCUUUGGUACGGAACAACUCAGGGAAACUUGAGCUAAUACCGUAUGUGCCGGUAACGGGAAAGAUUUAUCGCCAAAGGAUUGGCCCGCGUCCGAUUAGCUAGUUGGUGAGGUAACGGCUCACCAAGGCGACGAUCGGUAGCUGGUUUGAGAGAACGAUCAGCCACACUGGGACUGAGACACGGCCCAGACUCCUACGGGAGGCAGCAGUUGGGAAUCUUGGACAAUGGGGGAAACCCUGAUCCAGCCAUGCCGCGUGAGCGAUGAAGGCCUU